AUUGAACGCUAGCGGCAGGCCUAACACAUGCAAGUCGAACGAGUGGCGGACGGGUGAGUAAUGUCUGGGAAACUGCCCGAUGGAGGGGGAUAACUACUGGAAACGGUAGCUAAUACCGCAUACCAUCGGAUGUGCCCAGAUGGGAUUAGCUAGUAGGUGGGGUAACGGCUCACCUAGGCGACGAUCCCUAGCUGGUCUGAGAGGAUGACCAGCAACACUGGAACUGAGAUACGGGCCAGACUCCUACGGGGGGCAGCAGUGGGGAAUAUGGCACAAUGGGCGCAAGCCUGAUGCAGCCAUGCGGCGUGUAUGAAGAAGGCCUUCGGGUUUUAAAGUACUUUCAGCGGGGAGGCGUUACCCGAAGAAGAAGCACCGGCUAACUCCGUGCCAGCAGCCGCGGUAAUAC
rnacentral:rRNA from 1 species